rnacentral:misc_RNA from 1 species
AGCAGCCGCGGUAAUUCCAGCUCCAAUAGCGUAUAUUAAAGUUGUUGCAGUUAAAAGCUCGUAGUUGAAUUUCGGGGUUAGUACGCUGGUCGUGCCUUCGGUAUGUACUGGUGUUACUGAUUCCUACCUUCUGAAGAACCGUCAUGUCAUUAAUUUGGUGUGGCGGGGAAUCAGGACUGUUACUUUGAAAAAAUUUAGAGUGUUUAAAGCAGGCUCGCGCUUUGAAUACAUUAGCAUGGAAUAAUGAAAUAGGACGUUUGAUCCUAUUUUGUUGGUUUCUAGGAUUGACGUAAUGAUUAAUAGGGAUAGUUGGGGGCAUUAGUAUUCAAUUGUCAGAGGUGAAAAUUCCUGGAUUUAUUGAAGACUAACUACUGCGAAAAGCAUUUGCCAAGGAUGUUUUCAUUAAUCAAGAACGAAAGUUAGGGAUCGAAGACGAUCAGAUACCGUCGUAG